rnacentral:rRNA from 1 species
UACGGAGGGGGCUAGCGUUGUUCGGAAUUACUGGGCGUAAAGCGCACGUAGGCGGCUUGGCAAGUCGGAUGUGAAAUCCCUCGGCUCAACCAAGGAAGUGCAUCCGAAACUGCCGAGCUUGAGUACUUAAGAGGAUCGCGGAAUUCCCGGUGUAGAGGUGAAAUUCGUAGAUAUCGGGAGGAACACCAGUGGCGAAGGCGGCGAUCUGGGAAGAUAGUGACGCUGAGGUGCGAAAGCGUGGGGAGCAAACGGG